AUUGAACGCUGGCGGCAUGCCUUACACAUGCAAGUCGAACGGCAGCACGGACUUCGGUCUGGUGGCGAGUGGCGAACGGGUGAGUAAUGUAUCGGAACGUACCUUUCAGUGGGGGAUAACGUAGCGAAAGUUACGCUAAUACCGCAUAUUCUGUGCGCAGGAAAGCAGGGGAUCGCAAGACCUUGCGCUGAUUGAGCGGCCGAUAUCAGAUUAGCUAGUUGGUGAGGUAAAGACUCACCAAGGCGACGAUCUGUAGCGGGUCUGAGAGGAUGAUCCGCCACACUGGAACUGAGACACGGUCCAGACUCCUACGGGAGGCAGCAGUGGGGAAUUUUGGACAAUGGGGGCAACCCUGAUCCAGCCAUGCCGCGUGAGUGAAGAAGGCCUUCGGUUGUAAAGCUCUUUCGGCCGGGUAGAAAUCGUAUGGGUUAAUACCCUGUGCGGAUGACGGUACCGGCAUAAGAAGCACCGGCUAACUACGUAGCCC
rnacentral:rRNA from 1 species